rnacentral:rRNA from 1 species
GGUGGAUGGGGAGCGACCUAGUUGUGCGUGUGUAAGGGUAGUGCCAAGAAAAGCGAUGAUCAUGUUGAAAAUCAAUUCCCGGUACCCGAAACCGACACAGGUGGGCAAGUAGAGAAUACUAAGGGGCGCGAGGUAACUCUCUCCAAGGAACUCGGCAAAAUGACCCCGUAACUUAGGGAGAAGGGGUGCCACCGAGAGGUGGUCGCAGUGAAGAGGCCCAGGCGACUGUUUAGCAAAAACAUAGGUCUCUGCAAACUCGAAAGAGGAGGUAUAGGGGCUGACGCCUGCCCAGUGCCGGAAGGUUAAAGAAGUUGGUCAGUUUUAGGAUGAAGCUAGCGACUGAAGCCCCGGUGAACGGCGGCCGUAACUAUAACGGUCCUAAGGUAGCGAAAUUCCUUGUCGGGUAAGUUCCGACCCGCACGAAAGGCGUAACGAUCUGGGCGCUGUCUCGGAGAGAGGCUCGGCGAAAUAGGAUUGUCUGUGAAGAUACGGACUACCUGCAUUUGGACAGAAAGACCCUAUGAAGCUUUACUAUAGCUUGGAAUUGUGUUCGGGCUUCCUGUGCGCAGGAUAGGUGGGAGGCGUAGAAGGUAUUCUUGUGGGGAUACUGGAGCCAACGGUGAGAUACCACUCUCAGGAGGCUAGAAUUCUAACUUAAUUAAGGACAGUUUCAGGUGGGUAGUUUGACUGGGGCGGUCGCCUCCAAAAAGGUAACGGAGGCGUACAAAGGUUCCCUCAGACUGGUUGGAAAUCAGUCGAAGAGUGCAAAGGCAGAAGGGAGCUUGACUGCGAGAAGUACAGUUCGAGCAGGGUGGAAACACGGUCUUAGUGAUCCGACGGUGCUGUGUGGAAGGGCCGUCGCUCAACGGAUAAAAGUUACUCUAGGAUAACAGGCUGAUCUCCCCCAAGAGUUCACAUCGACGGGGAGGUUUGGCACCUCGAUGUCGGCUCAUCGCAACCUGGGGCGGAAGUACGUCCCAAGGGUUGGGCUGUUCGCCCAUUAAAGCGGUACGUGAGCUGGGUUCAGAACGUCGUGAGACAGUUCGGUCCAUAUCCGAUGUAGGCGUGAGAAUAUUGAGAGGAGCCUUCCUUAGUACGAGAGGACCGGGAAGGACGCACCGCUGGUGUACCUGUUAUGAUGCCAAUUGUAAACACAGGGUAGCCAAGUGCGGAGAGGAUAACCGCUGAAAGCAUCUAAGUGGGAAGCCCACCUCAAGAUGAGUAUUCUGGUGUAAGGUCACGGGAAGACGACCCGUAAAUAGGCACGAGGUGGAAGUGCAGAGAUGUAUGAAGCCGAAGUGUACUAAUAGACCGUCGGCUUGAC